rnacentral:misc_RNA from 1 species
GGGGCAUUUUCGAAUUGCGUGGAGGAACUUCCCAAAUGGGUUUUACCUGAAUGCUGCUGGGAGGCCGUGGCGUUGUUGAAAUGGAACCUACGGCUACUGUUGCUUGAUGAGAAGAGUUGAGUGAUUGAUCAACAUGAGAGAGAGAAGAGGGGGGAGAGGAAAGCCAAGCACCAGAGGAAAGAGAAGAGGACUUGUUGGCGGAGUAGAGAGUGGAGAAAACAUAAAAGGAAGAGAAGACGAUUCCGACGAGGAUGGCAGCAUAAACC